GCUAGCGGCAGGCCUAACACAUGCAAGUCGAGGGGUAACAUGAGUGCUUGCACUUGAUGACGACCGGCGCACGGGUGCGUAACGCGUAUACAAUCUACCUUGUACUGAGGGAUAGCCCAGAGAAAUUUGGAUUAAUACCUCAUAGCAUUGCAGAAUGGCAUCAUUCAGCAAUUAAAGUCACAACGGUAAAAGAUGAGCAUGCGUCCCAUUAGCUAGUUGGUAAGGUAACGGCUUACCAAGGCUACGAUAGCUAGGGGGCGUGAGAGCGUGGCCCCCCACACGGGUACUGAGACACGGACCCGACUCCUACGGGAGGCAGCAGUAAGGAAUAUUGGACAAUGGGCGCAAGCCUGAUCCAGCCAUGCCGCGUGUGUGAAGAAGGCCUUUUGGUUGUAAAGCACUUUAAGCAGGGAGGAGA
rnacentral:rRNA from 11 species